rnacentral:rRNA from 1 species
AAAAGUAAGCAAGGGCAGACGGUGGAUGCCUAGGCUCUCGGAGGCGAAGAAGGACGUGAUAAGCUGCGAAAAGCUGCGGGAAUCGGCACAUACGAAUUGAUCCGCAGAUAUCCGAAUGGGGCAACCCGUCAGGCCAAGGCCUGACACAUGAAUUGAUUUCAUGAGCGAACGCGGGGAACUGAAACAUCUCAUUACCCGUAGGAGAAGAAAACAAAAGUGAUUCCCUCAGUAGUGGCGAGCGAACGGGGAUUAGCCCAAACCGGCUUUGUUUCGGCAAAGUCGGGGUAAUAGGACUUCGACAAAAGUUUAAUGGUUAGAUAUAGGAGAACCUACUGGAAAGUAUGGCCGAAGAGCAUGAAAGCUGCGUAUCCGACAUAUCGAACCAUAGACGACGGAGCACCUGAGUAGCGCGGGACACGAGACAUCCUGUGUGAAUUGGCGGGGCCCAUCCCGUAAGGCUAAAUACUCCCGAGAGACCGAUAGUGAACCAGUACCGUGAGGGAAAGGUGAAAAGAACCUCGAACAGAGGAGUGCAAUAGACCCUGAACCCGUCUGCCUACAAGCGGUAGGAGCGCCAUUAAGGUGUGACUGCGUGCCUUUUGCAUAAUGAACCUACGAGUUACUGUUUGUGGCAAGGUUAAUUGUUAUAAUCAAGACAAGGAGCCGAAGCGAAAGCGAGUCUUAAAAGGGCGCCCAUUUAGUCACGAGCAGUAGACGCGAAACCAAGUGAUCUACCCUUGGUCAGGUUGAAGGUUAGGUAACACUAACUGGAGGACCGAAUCGGUAAGCGUUGAAAAGCUUUCGAAUGAACUGAGGGUAGGGGUGAAAGGCUAAUCAAACUUGGAGAUAGCUCGUACUCCCCGAAAUGCAUUUAGGUGCAGCCUGUCGGAUGUUAUCAUGAGGUAGAGCGACUGAUUGGAUGCGAGGGUUUCACCGCCUAUCAAGUCCAGAUAAACUCCGAAUGCAUGAUAAUUGACCGAUGGAGUGAGGGCAUGGGUGCUAAGGUCCAUGUCCGAGAGGAGAAGAAUCCGGACCACCGGCUAAGGUCCCGAAAUAAUUGCUAAGUUGUAAAAACGAAGUCAAGAUGCAGAGACAGCUAGGAUGUUGGCUUGGAAGCAGCCAUUCAUUUAAAGAGUGCGUAACAGCUCACUAGUCGAGGAUUUUGGCAUGGAUAAUACACGGGCAUAAGCAAUUUACCGAAGCCGUGGGAUAUAGUAAAAUAUCGGUAGGGGAGCAUUCCAGCGACGUAGAAGGGAAAAGGGCGACUUUUUCUGGAGUUUCUGGAAAAGCAAAUGUAGGUAUAAGUAACGAUAAAGGGGGCGAGAACCCCCCUCGCCGAAAGACCAAGGAUUCCUGAUCAACGCUAAUCGGAUCAGGGUUAGUCGGGGCCUAAGGAUAAGCCGAAUGGCGAUUCCGAUGGACGAACCGGUUAAUAUUCCGGUACUGAUACAGAGAGCGAUGUGGUGACGGAGAAGUGACAGUCCGGCCGUCUGACGGAAUAGGCGGUUAAAGGGUGUAGAUGUUGAUCGGGGUAGGCAAAUCCGCCCUGAGAGUCGAACCUGACAGUACCCGGAGUACAAGUACGAAGGGAUAAGGACGUAACCCGGCUCCCAAGAAAACCCGCUAAGCAUAUUUCUGUGUUACCCGUACCGUAAACCGACACAGGUGGUUGGGUUGAGUAUACUAAGGCGCUCGAGAGAUUCGCGGUUAAGGAACUAGGCAAAAUGGUCCUGUAACUUCGGGAGAAAGGACGCCUGUCUCCGGACAGGCCGCAGAAACCAGGCCCAGGCGACUGUUUAACAAAAACACAAGGCUAUGCAAAAAAGCAAUUUGAGGUAUAUAGUCUGACACCUGCCCGGUGCUGGAAGGUUAAGAGGAGGAGUCAUCGUCAAGAGAAGCUCUGAAUUGAAGCCCCAGUAAACGGCGGCCGUAACUAUAACGGUCCUAAGGUAGCGAAAUUCCUUGUCGGGU